CAGUAGCCGCGGUAAUACGUAGGUGGCAAGCGUUGUCCGGAAUUAUUGGGCGUAAAGCGCGCGCAGGCGGAUCAGUCAGUCUGUCUUAAAAGUUCGGGGCUUAACCCCGUGAUGGGAUGGAAACUGCUGAUCUAGAGUAUCGGAGAGGAAAGUGGAAUUCCUAGUGUAGCGGUGAAAUGCGUAGAUAUUGGGAAGAACACCAGUGGCGAAGGCGACUUUCUGGACGAAAACUGACGCUGAGGCGCGAAAGCCAGGGGAGCAAAUGGGAUUAGAUACCCCUGUAGUCCCUGUCUCUUAUACC
rnacentral:rRNA from 1 species